rnacentral:rRNA from 1 species
UACGUAGGGGGCAAGCGUUGUCCGGAAUCAUUGGGCGUAAAGAGCGUGUAGGCGGCCCGGUAAGCCCGCUGUGAAAGUCCAGGGCUCAACCCUGGAAUGCCGGUGGAUACUGUCGGACUAGAGUACGGAAGAGGCGAGUGGAAUUCCCGGUGUAGCGGUGAAAUGCGCAGAUAUCGGGAGGAACACCAAUUGCGAAGGCAGCUCGCUGGGCGUCACUGACGCUGAGACGCGAAACGUGGGGAGCAAACAGG